rnacentral:rRNA from 1 species
CAGUGGGGAAUCUUGCGCAAUGGGCGAAAGCCUGACGCAGCCAUGCCGCGUGAAUGAUGAAGGUCUUAGGAUUGUAAAAUUCUUUCACCGGUGACGAUAAUGACGGUACCGUGAGAAGAAGCCCCGGCUAACUUCGUGCCAGCAGCCGCGGUAAUACGAAGGGGGCUAGCGUUGCUCGGAAUUACUGGGCGUAAAGCGAGCGUAGGCGGACUUUUAAGUCAGAGGUGAAAUCCCGGGGCUCAACCUCGGAAUUGCCUUUGAUACUGGGUGUCUUGAGUGUGAGAGAGGUAUGUGGAACUCCGAGUGUAGAGGUGAAAUUCGUAGAUAUUCGGAAGAACACCAGUGGCGAAGGCGACAUACUGGCUCAUUACUGACGCUGAGGCUCGAAAGCGUGGGGAGCAAACAGGAUUAGAUACCCUGGUAGUCCACGCCGUA